rnacentral:misc_RNA from 1 species
AAGUCGUAACAAGGUUUCCGUAGGUGAACCUGCGGAAGGAUCAUUCAUAAUAAGUGUUUUAUGGCACUUUUUAAAUCCAUAUCCACCUUGUGUGCAAUGUUAAGAGGAGCAACUAGAGAGAUCGUAAAAAAUCUCUGUUCUUGUUCUUUUUCAUAACAAACUCAUUUUUUAACAUAUCGUCUGAAAACUAUUAUGAAUACUUAAUUCAAAAUACAACUUUCAACAACGGAUCUCUUGGCUCUC